UUGGAGGGCAAGUCAGGUGCCAGCAGCCGCGGUAAUUCCAGCUCCAAUAGCGUAUAUUAAAGUUGUUGCAGUUAAAAAGCUCGUAGUUGAAUUUCGGGAUCAAUGGAUUGGUCAUGCCGUUGGUAUGUACUGAUUUUAUUGAUUCUCACCUUCUAAAGAAUCAUAAUGCCAUUAAUUUGGUGUUGUGAGGAAUUAGGACUGUUACCUUGAAAAAAUUAGAGUGUUUAAAGCAGGCUUACGCUUGAAUACAUUAGCAUGGAAUAACGAAAUAGGACAUCGCAUUCUAUUUUGUUGGUUUCUAGGAUCGAUGUAAUGAUUAAUAGGGAUAGUUGGGGGCAUUAGUAUUCAAUUGUCAGAGGUGAAAUUCUUGGAUUUAUUGAAGACUAACUACUGCGAAAGCAUUUGCCAAGGAUGUUUUCAUUAAUCAAGAACGAAAGUUAGGGGAUCGAAGACGAUCAGAUACCGUCGUAGUCUUAACCAUAAACUAUGCCGACUAGGGAUCGGAUGAUGUUAAUUUUUUAAUGACUCAUUCGGCACCUUACGGGAAAC
rnacentral:rRNA from 1 species